CCAACCUAAAAUGAAUGAGUUUCAUAUUGCUUUAACCCUAUUUGUGUACAUUCUUUUUUCAAAUCUCUCAAACAUGUACAUGUACCAAAAUAAAAACAGUUAUGCAGGAAAAAUUAACCAAACACUAACCAACAAAUAAUGAUGACUUAAAAAAUUUUUGCUGAAAUUUCAAGUGCUGAUAUGCAUAUUGGAUUUGUAAAAUUGAUGUUAUAAACAUGUAUAUUAUGGUAGAAUUGUUAAAAUGUAACUGAUGGAGUUAUGACAAAAAAAACGAACAAGUUUAAUGUUCUGACUGUAAUCAAUAUAUUGUUAGCUCAGUACUGGUGGUACGUACAUUGUGUGUGAACUAACCAGACAUUGCUUGUUAUUGUAUUGGCACAUUUGUUAAAAUACAUUGUGUAAAAUUGUCUGAAAUGUUUUCUUCAGCUGACUGAUCAAUAUACAUUAAGGUUAAGUCAAUCCCCACUUUGCAAUUUACAGGGCUUAAUAGUUUGUGAGGGUUAGAAGCAGUUUAUAACUUGACUAAUGACGGUAUCCUUUUUUUUUUUGAUUUGUUUACAUAACUUCAGUCAACUUGUCUUUUAUCAGUGAGUCUUAUUGUGAUGGUAAUGUUCUCUUAGUAUAUGCCAGAUACAGUGUUGUUAUAUAUACCUGAAAGAACAGUAGUGAACAUUUUAAAAUUUUGAGCAUUAAUUCAUCACUGUAUGUCUAAUGCCUUUUAAAACCUAUGUUGUGAGAGCUUUUUUUAUCAGACACUCUUCAUGAACCUGUCUGUAUAAUCUAACAAUGAAUAAAGUAACAAAUGGAU
rnacentral:misc_RNA from 1 species